rnacentral:lncRNA from 1 species
GCACAGGCACAAGAGUUAUCAGCUGUGAAUGGCCAUCAUGGGCUUUGAAUCCAGGAGUUUGAAUCACGGAAAGCAUAGGAUGGAAAUAUAGGAGGAUUCCAACCUCCUAUAUAGCUAAAGUCAGUUAGAAGUGGUCAAGGAAGCAAAGAAAAUAACAACUUAGCCAGAGAGAUAGCAGAAUAACCCAGAGAUUUUCUGGCCCCUGAAGCCAAGGGAAAAGGGCGUCAAGAGAAAUGGUAGCCAUGCUGGAUGUCACCAGGAGACAUGAGAAAGGAAGUGUGCCUCCAGGGCUAGUGACAUUAACAUCUCCUGCAAUAGAAGAUCUUGUCGAUAGAAGACCCCAUCAUGUUAGACACCAGAUGGAGUCUCCCUCUGUCACCCAGACUGGAGUGCAAUGGUGUGAUCUUGGCUCACUGCAACCUCCGCCUCCCGAGUUCAAGUGAUUCUCCUGUCUCAGCCUCCUGAGUAGCUGGGAUUACAGGCGCCUGCCAUCAUGUGCCGGCUAAUUUUGGUAUUUUUAGUAGAGAUGUGGUUUCACCAUAUCGGCCAGGUUGGUCUCAAACUCCUGACCUCAGGUGAUCAGCCCGCCUCUGCAUCCCAAACUGCUGGGAUUACAGGCGUGAGGCCACCACACCCAGCCCCGAUUACCCUUAAGUAGGAGGUACAUUCUCUUCCAUUGAAAAAGAGAGAGAGCAGAGAAUAGAUGCACAGGCAAGCAGAUCUGUAUCCAUUUUGUUGUGGGAAGUUGCUUCCUCUCUGAUGUUCUCUCUCUCUCUCUCUCUCUGUCUCUCUCUCUCUGUUUUUCUCUCUCGUGCUUCAAGUAGGGAAUGAUUAGUGAGUGAUACUGUUUGCUAAGUAGUAAGAAAAUAAAGAAGGGGAACACAGAAAGAGUGUUUCAUAGAAAAAUGCUGGCAAUGUCUAGAGACAUAUUGCUCACUGGUUUAGUCUCCAGUUUCCUCUCUUUUUUGCUCCUACCUAGAUUUCCAGUUUAACAGACCUCAAUCCUGGAAGUCUGUGUCUAUAUUUUAUAUUUUAGGUGAGACUACACAUAAUAAUGCCAAAGAGUUCAUCAUAAAAUACUAGCCUCUUUCAGUAAUAAAUAUCAAAGCCCUGUUUCUAAGCAUUCUGUGGAAUUAGGGAAACAAGUGAUUUAACUAUAUUAAAAAAAAAAAAAGUUAGGCUCUAGAUUUAACGUUUUCAACCUCAUUUGAUCUAGCAAUAUUCAAGGAAAGGCCAUACAAAUUAUUUUGCAUGAAAUUAAAAUGUUGAACUUUUUCACAUGUCAAAAAUGCUUUGAUGAUGCAAACUUUUCUUAGAGAUUGCAUAUUUGAAGGAAUAAAAAGGAUAAAGUUCAAUCACUGAUUUUUUUUCUCUUUUUGUGGUGAAAGUUGAACAUGAACAAUGCAGGUACCCAUUAUCUGUGCUAAGGCAAGGCAUACAUACCUGAGAGACCUACAGACUUACUGCCAUAUGGAUCAACUCCGUGCACAAUGGGACUCUCUGUGUCCUGAAGGGACGAGAGCUCAGAGGGACAUAGUGACAAAUGGGAAAGCUACAUGAUGAUGAGACUCCCCAGUUGAGCACACAGUUGACUACGGCCAUGGGAGAGAGUGUGUGCAGGUGGGAUGGGAGUACAGGUGAAGCUUAGGUAACACCCGUACCUCAUCAUCCCCUGUGCGUCUGUGAAACCGCCUUUACAAAAUUAUACCUGAGGAAAUUAUGACAGUGAAAGAAACCAGACCUAACCAACUCCAUCUUGCUUCUAACCUUUAAGCUGUCCUUGUUCAUUCCUGGACAUAGAUUGAAUUAAUUUGGGAAGGAAUUCAAUUCCUGGUUUGACUCUGAAACAAAAUUGAUCAUGGCCCUUUCCCGAAAAGACCCCCUUCUUGCCUGGGGACCAGUCUGUCUUUGCAGGACUAACAAAUUACCUGUAAGAUUAGACAUUAUGGUUUAGGGGUCAUGCAGCCUCUGGUUCCAAGUCUGAACCUCCCCAAAUUGCUCCUGGGAUCACAUCACUAUUGUAAAACCUAACAUCAGUGCUUGAGAUAUGUUGCAGACCCUGCACCUGGUGGAUCAGCUGACACCACCCAAACCGGUAAUCUGGCCCAACCAGUUCUGCCAUCGCACUCGGGAACAGCAGACAGCAAGAAAAACUCACUUC